rnacentral:rRNA from 1 species
UGUGCACUUUUCUCUUAGUAAGACGCCGUGAUCCAUUAGAAAUUGGUAUACUCCAGUAUACAUUGGGUCAUCAAUAGGCCAAUGCGAAGUUUCUCGGAUUGAAUGGCACGGUCUUUUACGGCUGUGUGUAUCACCUGGGAAGCGCGUUGUGUUUCCUGUAAUGACUGUCUGAUGGAUUUUAAAGAUCAUAUUACUGAUGUUACGGCAUCACCUCAUUUCGAUGGGAUGUGAAUAUGUUUCUGAUCGACGGCGGUUAAAUUUGGGAUACCUUUUGGACCCGUCUUGAAACACGGACCAAGGAGUCUAUCUAGUAUGCGAGUAAAUGGGUAAUUUAUGAAACCUAUUUGCAGAAGAAACUUGACUGUUUGUGGGACUACGAGGCAUCAUUGCAAGAUGUGUCUCUUCCAUCCCGGAGUAUUUUCAUCCACAUAUGCCGUUAAAAGUAUAUGGAAAAUAUAUCAUGAGCACACUGGAUACGACCCGAAAGAUGGUGAACUAUGCCUGAUCAGGUCGAAGUCAGGGGAAACCCUGAUGGAGGACCGAAGAAGUUCUGAC